GAUGAACGCUAGCUACAGGCUUAACACAUGCAAGUCGAGGGACCGGCGCACGGGUGAGUAACACGUAUACAACCUGCCCUUUACUCGGUGAUAGCCUUUCGAAAGAAAGAUUAAUACCCGAUAUAAAGGAUGGGGAUGCGUUCCAUUAGGUGGUUGGUGAGGUACCGGCCCACCAGGCCUUCGAUGGAUGGGGGUGCGGAGAGGAAGUCCCCCCACAUGGGAACUGGGGUCCGGUCCAAAACCUUAGGGAAGGGAGGAGUGAGGAAUAUUGUUCAAUGGGCGCUAGCCUGAACCAGCCAAGUAGCGUGAAGGAUGAAUGCUUAUGGGUCGUAAACUUCUUUUAUAUAAGAAUAUGUAUUAUAUGAAUAAGGAUCGGCUAACUCCGUGCCAGCAGCCGCGGUAAUAC
rnacentral:rRNA from 1 species